UUGAAACACUGGUUCCUGUAAAAUCACCAAAGUUAAGCAAUGCUGAGCCUGAUCAGUAUCUAGAUGGGUGACCAUUUGGGAAUACUAGGUGCUGUAAG